rnacentral:rRNA from 1 species
GUCCACGCCGUAAACGAUGGGUGCUAGGUGUGGGCGGUGUCGACUCCGUCCGUGCCGAAGCUAACGCAUUAAGCACCCCGCCUGGGGAGUACGGCCGCAAGGCUAAAACUCAAAGGAAUUGACGGGGGCCCGCACAAGCAGCGGAGCAUGUGGUUUAAUUCGACGCAACGCGAAGAACCUUACCAGGGCUUGACAUGCACUGGAAUGUCGUGGAAACACGGCAGCCCUUCGGGGCCAGUGCACAGGUGGUGCAUGGCUGUCGU